CCUUCGAUAGCUCAGCUGGUAGAGCGGAGGACUGUAGCGCGCUUUCUGUGUGGCCAUCCUUAGGUCGCUGGUUCGAUUCCGGCUCGAAGGA
rnacentral:tRNA from 1 species